UACGUAUGGAGCAAGCGUUAUCCGGAUUUACUGGGUGUAAAGGGAGUGUAGGUGGCCAGGCAAGUCAGAAGUGAAAGCCCGGGGCUCAACCCCGGGACUGCUUUUGAAACUGCAGGGCUAGAGUGCAGGAGGGGCAAGUGGAAUUCCUAGUGUAGCGGUGAAAUGCGUAGAUAUUAGGAGGAACACCGGUGGCGAAGGCGGCUUGCUGGACUGUAACUGACACUGAGGCUCGAAAGCGUGGGGAGCAAACAGG
rnacentral:rRNA from 1 species